GCACUGCCGAAGGGUCCCAUAGUAGGACGAAACGGCCGUCCAGUGC
rfam:Schistosoma rodhaini strain Burundi genome assembly, scaffold: SROB_scaffold0000495